GACCACGAAAAAAUUCAAAUUUUUAAGCGCAAAAAAUAAAAAUAUAAAAAUUCAUAUUUCAUUCAUCCAUUUUUAGUUUAAGUUAAUCUUUUGCUAGAGAGAUUUCUUUGAGUAGAGAUGUAGGUCACAUGGUAACUACAAAAAAAUAGAUCCCCGUAUUAAUAUAUGAGUUUUGUUUUUUAUCUCAUAUAUGAGUAUUGUACAUAUUUUUUCUUUUUUUAUUAAUAUAAUAAAGAGAUAUAAGUUGGGGGUGAAGCAUGCUUUGUCCCCUGAUGUCUAGAUAUUACAAUAAAAUAGUUGAGGGUAUAUAUAUAUACCUUCGUAGAAAUUACAAUAAAAUAGGCAUCUAUAUUAAUAUAUGAGUAGAAAUAUAAUGUUCGAUAAAAAUUACAAAAAAAAAGGCAUUUAUAUUAAUAUGAGUAUAAAUAUAUGUCCCUGUUGAAACUAUACAAAAAUAGCCCUCGUAUUAAUAUACGAGUAAAAAUAUAGGUCUCUGGAAACAACACAAUGUCACAUAUAAAAGUAUUAUAUAUAAAUGAGUAGAAAUAUAGGUCCCUGUAUCGAAACAAAACAAUGUCACCUAUAAAAGUAUUAAAAAAAAUAGACUCGUAUUAAUAUAUGAGUAGAAAUAUAGGUUUCAUAGAAACUACAAAAAAAAAAAAAAAUCUCGUAUUAAUAUAUGAGUAGCCUCGUAAAAAAUAUCAAAAAAUAGACAACUUAAUUAAUAUAUGAGUAAAAACAUAGGGCCAUAGAAAUCACAACAAAAAUUAGCUCCUCGUAUUAAUAUAUCGGUAUAAAUAUUGAUCUCGUAGAUUAUUAAAAAACAAACAACCUUAUUAAUAUAUGAGUAAAAAUAUAGGUCCAAUAUAAAUAGUAGAAAUUCUUUAUGGGAUCAAGGACCAAUAUAUAUACAGACGGGAUCAGGAAAAAACAAAGAGUUAAACGCAUAACACUUCACUUUCAAAGCACCUCCGUACGUAUAUUUUUCAUCAUUUGGACAAUCAGAAACGUCGUUACACUUAAACAUCGCUGCAAUGAAAAUCAGAAUAAAAUAAUGUUAUUAAAAUGGGCUAAAAUAUUUUGUACGAAAAUUUGAACAUGAUGAUAAAAAAUGCUUACAUUUAUAAAUUUUCCCCUUUGCAACAAGAAAGAGGGAAAAAAAUAUAAUAACAUAAACAAUCUUGAUAGCUUCAGCCAUAUUUUAUCCCCUUUGUGUGUUAGAAAUAGAAUAUUAUUUUUUCACUUUAUAAUUUAUGAACUUCAUCUUCUCCUUACAUACAUUAUAUAGUUCUUGACGCUAAGUACACGUGUUAUUUACCGCUUUAGCGCACUUAG
rnacentral:lncRNA from 1 species